UUCAUCCUUUUUUCCAGUUAA
rnacentral:piRNA from 1 species